rnacentral:rRNA from 1 species
GAUGAACGCUGGCGGCGUGCCUAACACAUGCAAGUCGAGCGAUUUACUUCGGUAAAGAGCGGCGGACGGGUGAGUAACGCGUGGGUAACCUGCCCUGUACACACGGAUAACAUACCGAAAGGUAUGCUAAUACGAGAUAAUAUACUUUUAUCGCAUGGUAGAAGUAUCAAAGCUUUUGCGGUACAGGAUGGACCCGCGUCUGAUUAGCUAGUUGGUAAGGUAACGGCUUACCAAGGCGACGAUCAGUAGCCGACCUGAGAGGGUGAUCGGCCACAUUGGAACUGAGACACGGUCCAAACUCCUACGGGAGGCAGCAGUGGGGAAUAUUGCACAAGGGGCGAAAGCCUGAGGCAGCAACGCUGCGUGAGCGAUGAAGGCCUUCGGGUCGUAAAGCUCUGUCCUCAAGGAAGAUAAUGACGGUACUUGAGGAGGAAGCCCCGGCUAACUACGUGCCAGCAGCCGCCGUAAAAC